AGUGAACGCUGGCGGUAGGCCUAACACAUGCAAGUCGAACGGCAGCACAGUAAGGGCUUGCUCUUACGGGUGGCGAGUGGAGGACUGGUGCGGAAUACGUCGGAAUCUACUUUUUCGUGGGGGAUAACGUAGGGAAACUCACGCUAAUACCGCAUAAGACCUACGGGUGAAAGCAGGGGCUCUUCGUACCUUGCGCGAUUGAGUGAGCCGAUGUCGGAUUAGCUAGUUGGCGGGGUAAAGGCCCACCAAGGCGACGAUCCGUAGCUGGUCUGAGAGGAUGACCAGCCACACUGGAACUGAGACACGGUCCAGACUCCUACGGGAGGCAGCAGUGGGGAAUAUUGGACAAUGGGCGCAAGCCUGAUCCAGCAAUACCGCGUGGGUGAAGAAGGCCUUCGGGUUGUAAAGCCCUUUUGUAGGGAAAGAAAAGCAGCCGUCUAAUACCCCGGUGUUCUGACGGUACCCAAAGAAUAAGCACCGGCUAACUUCGUG
rnacentral:rRNA from 1 species